rnacentral:rRNA from 1 species
AGUCAUAUGCUUGUCUCAAAGAUUAAGCCAUGCAUGUCUAAGUAUAAGCUUUUAUACGGUGAAACUGCGAAUGGCUCAUUAUAUCAGUUAUAAUUUAUUUGAUAUUGUCUGCUACUUGGAUAACUGUAGUAAUUCUAGAGCUAAUACAUGCGUCAAUGCCUGAUUUCGAGAGGGCUGUAUUUAUUAGAUUCAAAACCAAUGCGUGGCAACACGGCUUGUGGUGAUUCAUAAUAACUUUUCUGAUCGAAUGGCCCUGGAGCCGUCGAUGUUUCAUUCAAAUUUCUGCCCUAUCAUACUUGUUGGUAAGAUAUAGGCUUACCAAGGUUAUAACGGGUAACGGAGAAUUAGGGUUCGAUUCCGGAGAGGGAGCCUGAGAAAUGGCUACCACAUCUAAGGAAGGCAGCAGGCGCGCAAAUUACCCAAUCCCGACACGGGGAGGUAGUGACAAGAAAUAUCAAUGUCGGGCAUUUGUCUGAUAAUUGGAAUGAGAACAAUUUAAAACUCUUAUCGAGUAUCAAUU